rnacentral:rRNA from 1 species
AAUGAACGCUGGCGGCAGGCUUAACACAUGCAAGUCGAGCGGGGGAAGGUAGCUUGCUACCGGACCUAGCGGCGGACGGGUGAGUAAUGCUUAGGAAUCUGCCUAUUAGUGGGGGACAACAUCUCGAAAGGGAUGCUAAUACCGCAUACGUCCUACGGGAGAAAGCAGGGGAUCUUCGGACCUUGCGCUAAUAGAUGAGCCUAAGUCGGAUUAGCUAGUUGGUGGGGUGAAGGCCUACCAAGGCGACGAUCUGUAGCGGGUCUGAGAGGAUGAUCCGCCACACUGGGACUGAGACACGGCCCAGACUCCUACGGGAGGCAGCAGUGGGGAAUAUUGGACAAUGGGGGGAACCCUGAUCCAGCCAUGCCGCGUGUGUGAAGAAGGCCUUAUGGUUGUAAAGCACUUUAAGCGAGGAGGAGGCUACUCUAGUUAAUACCUAGGGAUAGUGGACGUUACUCGCAGAAUAAGCACCGGCUAACUCUGUGCCAGCAGCCGCAGUAA